rnacentral:rRNA from 1 species
ACGGGCGGGGUGCUUACCAUGCAGUCGAACGAUGAACCACUUCGGUGGGGAUUAGUGGCGAACGGGUGAGUAACACGUGGGCAAUCUGCCCUUCACUCUGGGACAAGCCCUGGAAACGGGGUCUAAUACCGGAUACGACACUCUCGGGCAUCCGAUGAGUGUGGAAAGCUCCGGCGGUGAAGGAUGAGCCCGCGGCCUAUCAGCUUGUUGGUGAGGUAACGGCUCACCAAGGCGACGACGGGUAGCCGGCCUGAGAGGGCGACCGGCCACACUGGGACUGAGACACGGCCCAGACUCCUACGGGAGGCAGCAGUGGGGAAUAUUGCACAAUGGGCGAAAGCCUGAUGCAGCGACGCCGCGUGAGGGAUGACGGCCUUCGGGUUGUAAACCUCUUUCAGCAGGGAAGAAGCGAAAGUGACGGUACCUGCAGAAGAAGCGCCGGCUAACUACGUGCCAGCAGCCGCGGUAAUACGUAGGGCGCGAGCGUUGUCCGGAAUUAUUGGGCGUAAAGAGCUCGUAGGCGGUCUGUCGCGUCGGAUGUGAAAGCCCGGGGCUUAACCCCGGGUCUGCAUUCGAUACGGGCAGACUAGAGUGUGGUAGGGGAGAUCGGAAUUCCUGGUGUAGCGGUGAAAUGCGCUGAUAUCAGGAGGAACACCGGUGGCGAAGGCGGAUCUCUGGGCCAUUACUGACGCUGAGGAGCGAAAGCGUGGGGAGCGAACAGGAUUAGAUACCCUGUUAGUCCACGCCGUAAACGGUGGGAACUAGGUGUUGGCGACAUUCCACGUCGUCGGUGCCGCAGCUAACGCAUUAAGUUCCCCGCCUGGGGAGUACGGCCGCAAGGCUAAAACUCAAAGGAAUUGACGGGGCCCGCACAAGCAGCGGAGCAUGUGGCUUAAUUCGACGCAACGCGAAGAACCUUACCAAGGCUUGACAUACACCGGAAACGGCCAGAGAUGGUCGCCCCUUGUGGUCGGUGUACAGUGUGCAUGGCUGUCGUCAGCUCGUGUCGUGAGAUGUUGGGUUAAGUCCUGCAACGAGCGCACCCUUGUUCUGUGGUUGCCAGCAUGCCAUACCAG